rnacentral:misc_RNA from 1 species
AAAGUCGUAACAGGGGUUUCCCGUAGGUGAACCUGCGGAAGGAUCAUUACAAAUAAAGGCUGGCUAGGAAGUCUGGGGUCUUGCAUCAUGCUAAGUUGGUUGAGAGGCCGAAUCAGUCCGGGCCUGGCCCUCCCGGAAAUGUACCUUACAUGUCCCCCACAGCUGAGGCCGAAUUACAACCUGAUUAAUCUACACUGUUCUUUGGGUGCUGUCAAGUGCCCCGAGGACCCAACUCUCUUGCAAUUUAGUGACGUCUGAUGGUACAUUAUAAUAUUUAAAACU